AGAGUUUGAUCAUGGCUCAGAUUGAACGCUGGCGGCAGGCCUAACACAUGCAAGUCGAACGGUAACAGGAAGAAGCUUGCUUCUUUGCUGACGAGUGGCGGACGGGUGAGUAAUGUCUGGGAAACUGCCUGAUGGAGGGGGAUAACUACUGGAAACGGUAGCUAAUACCGCAUAACGUCGCAAGACCAAAGAGGGGGACCUUCGGGCCUCUUGCCAUCGGAUGUGCCCAGAUGGGAUUAGCUAGUAGGUGGGGCAACGGCUCACCUAGGCGACGAUCCCUAGCUGGUCUGAGAGGAUGACCAGCCACACUGGAACUGAGACACGGUCCAGACUCCUACGGGAGGCAGCGGUGGGGAAUAUUGCACAAUGGGCGCAAGCCUGAUGCAGCCAUGCCGCGUGUAUGAAGAAGGCCUUCGGGUUGUAAAGUACUUUCAGCGGGGAGGAAGGGAGUAAAGUUAAUACCUUUGCUCAUUGACGUUACCCGCAGAAGAAGCACCGGCUAACUCCGUGCCAGCAGCCGCGGUAAUACGGAGGGUGCAAGCGUUAAUCGGAAUUACUGGGCGUAAAGCGCACGCAGGCGGUUUGUUAAGUCAGAUGUGAAAUCCCCGGGCUCAACCUGGGAACUGCAUCUGAUACUGGCAAGCUUGAGUCUCGUAGAGGGGGGUAGAAUUCCAGGUGUAGCGGUGAAAUGCGUAGAGAUCUGGAGGAAUACCGGUGGCGAAGGCGGCCCCCUGGACGAAGACUGACGCUCAGGUGCGAAAGCGUGGGGAGCAAACAGGAUUAGAUACCCUGGUAGUCCACGCCGUAAACGAUGUCGACUUGGAGGUUGUGCCCUUGAGGCGUGGCUCCCGGAGCUAACGCGUUAAGUCGACCGCCUGGGGAGUACGGCCGCAAGGUUAAAACUCAAAUGAAUUGACGGGGGCCUGCACAAGCGGUGGAGCAUGUGGUUUAAUUCGAUGCAACGCGAAGUACCUUACCUGGUCUUGACAUCCACGGAAGUUUUCAGAGAUGAGAAUGUGCCUUCGGGAACCGUGAGACAGGUGCUGCAUGGCUGUCGUCAGCUCGUGUUGUGAAAUGUUGGGUUAAGUCCCGCAACGAGCGCAACCCUUAUCCUUUGUUGCCAGCGGUCCGGCCGGGAACUCAAAGGAGACUGCCAGUGAUAAACUGGAGGAAGGUGGGGAUGACGUCAAGUCAUCAUGGCCCUUACGACCAGGGCUACACACGUGCUACAAUGGCGCAUACAAAGAGAAGCGACCUCGCGAGAGCAAGCGGACCUCAUAAAGUGCGUCGUAGUCCGGAUUGGAGUCUGCAACUCGACUCCAUGAAGUCGGAAUCGCUAGUAAUCGUGGAUCAGAAUGCCACGGUGAAUACGUUCCCGGGCCUUGUACACACCGCCCGUCACACCAUGGGAGUGGGUUGCAAAAGAAGUAGGUAGCUUAACCUUCGGGAGGGCGCUUACCACUUUGUGAUUCAUGACUGGGGUGAAGUCGUAACAAGGUAACCGUAGGGGAACCUGCGGUUG
rnacentral:rRNA from 1 species